rnacentral:rRNA from 1 species
UACGAAGGGGGCUAGCGUUGCUCGGAAUCACUGGGCGUAAAGGGUGCGUAGGCGGGUCUUUAAGUCAGGGGUGAAAUCCUGGAGCUCAACUCCAGAACUGCCUUUGAUACUGAAGAUCUUGAGUUCGGGAGAGGUGAGUGGAACUGCGAGUGUAGAGGUGAAAUUCGUAGAUAUUCGCAAGAACACCAGUGGCGAAGGCGGCUCACUGGCCCGGUACUGACGCUGAGGCGCGACAGCGUGGGGAGCAAACAGG